GGGUUGUGAGGUUAAGCGACUAAGCGUACACGGUGGAUGCCCUGGCAGUCAGAGGCGAUGAAGGACGUGCUAAUCUGCGAAAAGCGUCGGUAAGGUGAUAUGAACCGUUAUAACCGGCGAUGUCCGAAUGGGGAAACCCAGUGCAAUUCGUUGCACUAUCGUUAACUGAAUACAUAGGUUAACGAGGCGAACCGGGGGAACUGAAACAUCUAAGUACCCCGAGGAAAAGAAAUCAACCGAGAUUCCCCCAGUAGCGGCGAGCGAACGGGGAGCAGCCCAGAGUCUGAAUCAGCUUGUGUGUUAGUGGAACGGUCUGGAAAGUCCGACGGUACAGGGUGAUAGUCCCGUACACCAAAAUGCACAGGCUGUGAACUCGAAGAGUAGGGCGGGACACGUGGUAUCCUGUCUGAAUAUGGGGGGACCAUCCUCCAAGGCUAAAUACUCCUGACUGACCGAUAGUGAACCAGUACCGUGAGGGAAAGGCGAAAAGAACCCCGGCGAGGGGAGUGAAAAAGAACCUGAAACCGUGUACGUACAAGCAGUGGGAGCACCUUCGGGUGUGACUGCGUACCUUUUGUAUAAUGGGUCAGCGACUUAUAUUCUGUAGCAAGGUUAACCGUAUAGGGGAGCCGCAGGGAAACCGAGUCUUAACUGGGCGUUAAGUUGCAGGGUAUAGACCCGAAACCCGGUGAUCUAGCCAUGGGCAGGUUGAAGGUUGGGUAACACUAACUGGAGGACCGAACCGACUAAUGUUGAAAAAUUAGCGGAUGACUUGUGGCUGGGGGUGAAAGGCCAAUCAAACCGGGAGAUAGCUGGUUCUCCCCGAAAGCUAUUUAGGUAGCGCCUCGUGAAUUCAUCUUCGGGGGUAGAGCACUGUUUCGGCUAGGGGGUCAUCCCGACUUACCAACCCGAUGCAAACUACGAAUACCGAAGAAUGUUAUCACGGGAGACACACGGCGGGUGCUAACGUCCGUCGUGAAGAGGGAAACAACCCAGACCGCCAGCUAAGGUCCCAAAGUCAUGGUUAAGUGGGAAACGAUGUGGGAAGGCACAGACAGCCAGGAUGUUGGCUUAGAAGCAGCCAUCAUUUAAAGAAAGCGUAAUAGCUCACUGGUCGAGUCGGCCUGCGCGGAAGAUGUAACGGGGCUAAACCAUGCACCGAAGCUGCGGCAGCGACACUAUGUGUUGUUGGGUAGGGGAGCGUUCUGUAAGCCUGCGAAGGUGACCUGUGAGGGUUGCUGGAGGUAUCAGAAGUGCGAAUGCUGACAUAAGUAACGAUAAAGCGGGUGAAAAGCCCGCUCGCCGGAAGACCAAGGGUUCCUGUCCAACGUUAAUCGGGGCAGGGUGAGUCGACCCCUAAGGCGAGGCCGAAAGGCGUAGUCGAUGGGAAACAGGUUAAUAUUCCUGUACUUGGUGUUACUGCGAAGGGGGGACGGAGAAGGCUAUGUUAGCCGGGCGACGGUUGUCCCGGUUUAAGCAUGUAGGCUGAUUGUCCAGGCAAAUCCGGAUAAUCAAGGCUGAGGUGUGAUGACGAGGCACUACGGUGCUGAAGUAACAAAUGCCCUGCUUCCAGGAAAAGCCUCUAAGCAUCAGGUAACAUCAAAUCGUACCCCAAACCGACACAGGUGGUCAGGUAGAGAAUACCAAGGCGCUUGAGAGAACUCGGGUGAAGGAACUAGGCAAAAUGGUGCCGUAACUUCGGGAGAAGGCACGCUGGUGUGUAGGUGAAGUCCCUGCGGAUGGAGCUGAGACCAGUCGAAGAUACCAGCUGGCUGCAACUGUUUAUUAAAAACACAGCACUGUGCAAACACGAAAGUGGACGUAUACGGUGUGACGCCUGCCCGGUGCCGGAAGGUUAAUUGAUGGGGUUAUCCGUAAGGAGAAGCUCUUGAUCGAAGCCCCGGUAAACGGCGGCCGUAACUAUAACGGUCCUAAGGUAGCGAAAUUCCUUGUCGGGUAAGUUCCGACCUGCACGAAUGGCGUAAUGAUGGCCAGGCUGUCUCCACCCGAGACUCAGUGAAAUUGAACUCGCUGUGAAGAUGCAGUGUACCCGCGGCAAGACGGAAAGACCCCGUGAACCUUUACUAUAGCUUGACACUGAACAUUGAGCCUUGAUGUGUAGGAUAGGUGGGAGGCUUUGAAGCGUGGACGCCAGUCUGCGUGGAGCCAACCUUGAAAUACCACCCUUUAAUGUUUGAUGUUCUAACGUUGGCCCCUUACCGGGGUUGCGGACAGUGUCUGGUGGGUAGUUUGACUGGGGCGGUCUCCUCCCAAAGCGUAACGGAGGAGCACGAAGGUUAGCUAAUCCUGGUCGGACAUCAGGAGGUUAGUGCAAUGGCAUAAGCUAGCUUGACUGCGAGCGUGACGGCGCGAGCAGGUGCGAAAGCAGGUCAUAGUGAUCCGGUGGUUCUGAAUGGAAGGGCCAUCGCUCAACGGAUAAAAGGUACUCCGGGGAUAACAGGCUGAUACCGCCCAAGAGUUCAUAUCGACGGCGGUGUUUGGCACCUCGAUGUCGGCUCAUCACAUCCUGGGGCUGAAGUAGGUCCCAAGGGUAUGGCUGUUCGCCAUUUAAAGUGGUACGCGAGCUGGGUUUAGAACGUCGUGAGACAGUUCGGUCCCUAUCUGCCGUGGGCGCUGGAGAAUUGAGGGGGGCUGCUCCUAGUACGAGAGGACCGGAGUGGACGCAUCACUGGUGUUCGGGUUGUCAUGCCAAUGGCACUGCCCGGUAGCUAAAUGCGGAAGAGAUAAGUGCUGAAAGCAUCUAAGCACGAAACUUGCCCCGAGAUGAGUUCUCCCUGAGACUUUAAGUCUCCUGAAGGAACGUU
rnacentral:rRNA from 1 species